AGUGCCUUGCUGCCUAGAGCUCCCAGUUUUCCUCGACACGCCGAACAAUAACGCCAGUCCAUCCCCAGGGUUCACCGAAGAGUGCUUCAGAUAAUAUUGAACGGAUCCAGGAUUACAGGUAUGCGUCCUUCUGCCUGCAGAUGUCACUGUUGUACUGGCUGGGAAAACUGCAGGACGCUGGGGAACCUUAGGGCCAUAAAGGAAAAGAUAUGAGCUUUAAAAGAAAAAGAAAAGCCUCUUGUGGCUUCAGCAAAGCAGAACAGAAUCCUUAAAAGCUUGCCUUAAAAAUAAAACACUGCAAAAUUGGACUUCAGGGGCGAUAAGUGCAAUCUGGUUAUAAGCUGUACGUAGAAGCCUUGACUGUAUGACUAAAUGUAAUCCAUAAAGCAACCAGCAACCACAGCGACACGGAAAGAACAUUGAUUACACCUGCUUAACCGGACCCUUUCAGGAGGGAAAAAGCGAAAUAUUUCUGCAGUAAACAAUAAAUACAAAAAUGUGAAA